UACGUAGGGGCCAAGCGUUGUCCGGAAUUAUUGGGCGUAAAGAGCUCGUAGGCGGUGUGUCACGUCGGCCGUGAAAACCUGCAGCUUAACUGUGGGCGUGCGGUCGAUACGGGCAUCACUGGAGUUCGGCAGGGGAGACUGGAAUUCCUGGUGUAGCGGUGAAAUGCGCAGAUAUCAGGAGGAACACCGGUGGCGAAGGCGGGUCUCUGGGCCGAUACUGACGCUGAGGAGCGAAAGCGUGGGGAGCAAACAGG
rnacentral:rRNA from 1 species